CUGGGUAAACAAUAACAGGCUGCACGGAAGGCACGCGAAUACAGCUUCCGGCCUCUUGCAGCACGCAGCUUCUGCUACGACUAGACGUGUCUGGGUGGUCUUUUCACUAUCCUGGCAUUGAACAAAAAUUUUGCUCAACCCUGACAGCGUGGUUGUGACUGCCAACGAACGGUUGAGGUCCUCCAAGACCCUACAUAUGACCUAAGCUUCUGCCGGCCCUGUUUGAUGUAUGAGGCAGAGGGACAUUGAGACACCGGUCUUUAACCCUCCGCUUAUCAAAAUUCCCCGAUGCGGAGGCUGUGAUGGAGCGCUCAGGGCUGUGUUGUCCCUCACCUUGUCACCGGCUGAUUGGAUUCCGUCUUCCUCGCGGCAGCGACAAUCAGAUUCUGAAGAAAUUACAGCAUCUUCUGGAAUAAUGAAACUGAGGCAUUUUCAUGGCAAUAAAAUGUGCUUUUAAGUAAAAAUCGAGUAGCUUCAAUAUGGGAUUAUACAAG